CGAAGGGUGCAAGCGUUACUCGGAAUUACUGGGCGUAAAGCGCGCGUAGGUGGUUUUGUAAGUUGGAGGUGAAAGCCCCGGGCUCAACCUGGGAAUUGCCUCCAAAACUGCAUGACUAGAGUACGGUAGAGGGUAGUGGAAUUUCCUGUGUAGCGGUGAAAUGCGUAGAUAUAGGAAGGAACACCAGUGGCGAAGGCGACUACCUGGACUGAUACUGACACUGAGGUGCGAAAGCGGGGGGAGCAAACAGGAUUAGAUACCCUGGUGGUCCACGCCGUAAACGAUGUCAACUAGCCGUUGGGAUCCUUGAGAUCUUAGUGGCGCAGCUAACGCAUUAAGUUGACCGCCUGGGGAGCACGGCCGCAAGGUUAAAACUCAAAUGAAUUGACGGGG
rnacentral:rRNA from 1 species